UGUCACCCAGGCUGAAAUGCAGUGGCGCAAUCUCGGCUCACUGCAAGCUCCGCCUCCUGGGUUCAUGCCAUUCUCCUGCCUCAGCCUCUCGAGUAGCUGGAACUACAGGCGCCAGCCACCACGCCCGGACAGCAAGACCCCCCGCAAGACAGCAAGACCCAACUCUCUUCUUUCUCUUCCUCCUCAUCCUACUCAACAUGAAGAUGACAAGGAUGAAGACCUUCAUGAUGGUCCACUUCACUUAAUGAAUAGUAAAUAGUAAAUUUUCUCUUCCUCAUGAUGUUUGAAAUAAUAUUUUCUUUUCUCUAGCUUAUUUUAUUGUAACAAUACAGUAUACUAUACACACACAAAAUAUGUGUUAAUCAACUGUUUAUGUUAUUGGUAAGGCUUAUGGUUAACAGUGGGCUCUUAAUAGCUACACUGUGGUGGAGUCAAAAGUUAUAUACAGGGUCUCGACUGUCUGGGGGUUCGGUGCCCCUAAUCUCUGCAUUGUUCAAGGGACAACCACAGUGUUAUUUCUGUUAGACAUGUGUCAGCACCCUAUGCUGUUACUGUGACUUGCUAUUUUUUUAAAUCUCCCUUGUAACUGUAGGAUAACUCUCUGUAUAACUCUAGUGAAUCCCCAGUAAGUGCAAAUUAAAAUGGUGACCUGUAUCUUUAAAGAAAAUUAAAUCUUUAUACAUGCUCAU
rnacentral:lncRNA from 1 species